rnacentral:tmRNA from 1 species
GGGGAUGCCAGGCUUCGAUAAUAAGACUCUUAAUGCUAGCAGGCAGCAGGUGAUUGAGGUUUUCACCUAAAUCAAAAUCUUAACUAUAUAAAUGCCAAAAACGCAUUAGCAAAGCUUAGUAAUGCUUUCAGCAUGCCUAACUUUGCGCCAGUUGUUGCCUAACUUGCGCGACAACCAUCGCCCUAGCCAUACCUAAUAGCUAGCCAGCGGUGUCAUUUAUUAGGCUGGAACCAACAUUUGUUGCUGUUGUUAGUUCGAGAUCAAAGGCAACUGGCCUUGAUUGGUUUUGUCUAAUUUUUCACAAUCAAGGUGAGACAACCAAGUUAGACUAUUGUUGUAGAUGUGCUAUCAUUAACUUAUUAGACAGGGGUUCAACUCCCCUCAUCUCCACAU